GCCUCGGUAGCUCAGCCCGGAAGAGCGGGUGACUUGUAAUCACCAGGUCGGGGGUUCAAAUCCCCCCCGGGGCU
rnacentral:tRNA from 1 species